GGCGCGGUGGCGGAGUGGUUACGCAGCGGCCUGCAAAGCCGUGAACACCGGUUCGAGUCCGGUCCGCGCCUCCA
rnacentral:tRNA from 1 species